rfam:Oryza sativa Japonica Group DNA, chromosome 3, cultivar: Nipponbare, complete sequence.
CUUCAGUUCAUGUACUCCCUCCAUGUACUCCAAUUUGAUCUUUCGUCUUAUUUGAUAAAUUUUUUAAAAAAAUUAAAAACAUAAGUCACGCAUAAAGUAUUAUUCAUGUUUUAUCAUUUUAUAACAAUAAAAAUACUAAUUACAACAAAUUUCAAAUAAGACAGACGACUAAAGUUCAGCGCGGAAACUCAUGUUUGCAUUUAAA